rnacentral:rRNA from 1 species
AUGUCGGCAGUGGAUCCCUUGGUUGCGGCUCGUGUUAUACAUGAUGUGUUGGAUCCAUUUACAUCAACUGUUCCACUCACAAUAGGCUACAACAAUAGGCUAGUUCGGCCAGGUGCUGAGCUAAAACCAUCUGCAGUUGUAAGCAAGCCGCGAGUUGAUAUUGGGGGCAAUGACAUGAGAGUUCUCUACACCCUGAUGUUGGUGGAUCCAGAUGCCCCAAGCCCAAGUCACCCAUCACUAAGGGAGUACUUGCACUGGAUGGUGGCAGACAUCCCUGGAACAACUGGUGUCGGCUUUGGCCAAGAGCUUGUGGUUUAUGAAAGACCGGAGCCAAGAUCCGGCAUCCACCGGAUGGUAUUUGUGCUGUUCCAGCAACUAGGAAGGGGGACGGUUUUUGCACCGGACAUGCGGCAGAACUUCAGCUCCAGGAACUUCGCACGCCAGUACCACCUCAACAUUGCCGCUGCCACAUAUUUCAGCUGUCAAAGGGAAGGUGGAUCGGGUGGAAGAAGGUUUAGGCCGGAAAGUUCUCAAGGGGAGUAG